UGCAAGUGGCUAGUUUACGUGCUUCAAUGAUGCGAUUUAUGCAGUCUAGUCAGACAUUAGACAGCAGUCAGUGGCAAGACAGUGAAAUGCUUCAAGAGGCAGAUUUCCCUGAGGUGCCAAGCAGUCCUUCCAGACCAGGUGAAAGUGACAGUUCCUGCCAAAGUCCCAGCGAUGCUUGCUGUAUGGUAGAUGUUGAGGUGCCAAGCCCUUCCAGACCAGGUGAAAGUGACAGUUCCUGCCAAAGUCCCAGCGAUGCUUGCUGUAUGGUAGAUGUUGAGGUGCCAAGCAGUCCUUCCAGACCAGGUGAAAGUGACAGUUCCUGCCAAAGUCCCAGCGAUGCUUGCUGUAUGGUAGAUGUUGAGAAUACUGGUACUGGAUGUACAGAUAAUGAAUCUGAGUCACAGGUGUGUGAUAAUGGCUCUGACCUUGCAGGUGGUAAUGCAG